rnacentral:Y_RNA from 1 species
GCUUGGCCUGAAGGCAGUGAGUUACCGCAACUGAUUGAUCACAGUCAGGUACAGACUGAACUCAGGUACCACACUUCCCCCUUCUCACUACUGCACUUGAGUAGUCUUAA